AUUUCUGAGUCAUCCCUAAACAGUCUGCCAAAGCCUUCAUUGUCCGGAUCCCCUCGAGCACAACCAUCUGUGGGAGGCAAACACCAUUUCAUAAAUUUAGGACUCACAGAUUUCAAAAGAAUAGAUGAUUGAAAGGCUUCAACAAUUUGUGAAGUGUAAGUUUGAAUAAAAAAACAACUUUGUUGCCGGGCAUGAUUUUAUUUUCAAUUUUUUUAAAAAUUUCUAUCCUUCCAAAAUCUACUACUUACUCAGCAACACAAAUAUCAUCGGUGGAUCUCUCUCCAUCAUCAUUUUCAUUUUGUAUUAACCUAGGGUUUCUUUCUCUCUCUACAUACAUCGCGAUCCUUCAUCCUCCUUUGAUCUGAUCAUCUCUCUCUCUCUCUCUCUCUCUCUCUCUCUCUAAUCGAGUUCUUCAAUUCAUUGAGUCAAUGGACACGAUCGACGAAUUGGCUCAGCUCGCUGAUUCGAUGCGCCAAGCAUCUGCUUUGCUUGCUGACAAAGAUGUCAACGAAAACUCAUCGUCCUCACGCCGCCCUUCCACUUUCCUUAACGUCGUUGCCCUCGUCAAUACUGGUAUUAUUUGUCUCACCUCUUGCUCCUCCACCACGCCGAUCGCCAUCGUCGUCGCUUUAUUAGCCUUGCCGGUCGCCACCGCCACUAGUAGCCUUUCCGGUAACCGCCGCAUCUUCUCCUCUCGCCGAUUUGAUUGGUUUUUGAUGACGUUUGGAAGCAUACUUGCAAAUCAAAAUCAAGUGUUGAAUUUUUUUUUUCCUGAACUGAUACUUCUACAAAUCAAGAUCGAGUGUUGAUUUUUUUUUAUAGACUCCAUGAUAUCUUGCUAGUGCUCGCUGUUCAAGCUCAGGAGUGCUUGUCCUUGUUGAACCAGUUUCAACUGUUAAUGGUGGAGAUCAGCACCUAGCAACUCCUAAAACUGAACGAUGUUCAAACUGUUCAGGUUCUGGAAAGGGUAGACAUUUGGGAUUUUGGUUUCCGUAUUUGUUUAAUGAAUGUCACAUGGAGCUAUUUACUAUUUGAGGGCGGUAGAAUAGUGGAUUUUGAUGGUGCAAUAUAUGGCUUAUAUGCAUGGUUAAAACGGUUGCCCGAUGAACUAAUAUGAGAUUCUUGGGGAAGAGAUUACGAAAACAAGAAUGCUAUUUCAUCAGAAAAAAUAAAUAUCUAAUUUAGAAUGCUUAAUGCUUUGAAGCCCUUGCGUUUAUAUUGUGCUAAAUUACUGACUUCAACCUGCUUGAAAUUAAUCCUCUUAUUUGUUUCCUAUGCUGACAUGUCCAACUAUACCUUUGUUACCCCCAUUGGUGAAAUUUCUUCCUGUGCAGUAAGACUCUAGACCUGCUUUGACACUAGCUGAGCUAGAGCUGUUUAUUUAUUAUUUUAUUUUUAAAUUUAUUAUUUAUUUAAGUUGGCUGCUAAAUGAGGAAGUUAUUUGAUAAACUGGUGAGCUCCAACCCGUGACUUUUGAAAUUUUUAUUUUUAUGAGUAAGCUAAAAGUUUCUCUAACACCUUUUCAUUUGGCAAGUCUUACCAUUGGGCCAUGCCACCCUUUUUCCAUUUCAUACCCCUAAUUACUAAAAUAUUCUGCUGCCGAGCUUUUUUGUGGUUCUGCUGCCUAACUUUUUUGUGGUUCCUCGAGGUUAACUAUUAUGACCAUUAUACAUUAUGUUUUUUUUCAUAAGCCUGCUACUCCUUUAUUUAUCUUUUUCAAGUUUUUGUAAAUGGAAGAAAGCUCAUGGUUGUCAAACUGUAUUUUGACAGUGAAUCAUGCGCUUGGGUUUUAAUUGGGACUGACAUAAAUAUUCUGCUACUUGCUAAGUUCGCAAAGCCUUUAAUGGGACCUGCCCAGAUAGUCAUAAACAGCAUCCUCAUUAACGGUGAAGUAUGUAGUUUUCUUUUCUCUUUUUUACUUACCUUUUAUAUCUAAAAUUCUGAAUUAUCGUUCUUCUCUUUUUGGUAAAUGAAGAAUUAAAGUCACAUCUAUGAAAUUGAAGAACUGGUAAUUGUUCUUUGCCACCACUAGUGUAAAUCAGGUAAUGUUACAGGCUCAACUCCUCAUUCACAUAUAAGAUGGUGGGAUAUGUGGUGGGUAAUUCCUGGGUCGAUUGAGGCUUUGUUUCAGUGGUGGGCAGGGGCUUUGGUUAAGAAAAAAGAG